GAGUUGAGUUUACAGAUGGUUUCUGUAAUAAAUCUGCAAAAUUUAUAAAAUAUUAGGGUUCGAUUCCCUCUUAACUCU
rnacentral:tRNA from 1 species